UCCAAACAAAUCACCUACCUCUCCAUUUAUUUUUUUCACCGAUCCCCUUCCAUACUUAGCUCCUUCGAACACGCACUAGACACGUUUAUCUUUUCUCCUGAGCAUAAGUCGUUCGUUCGUCAUCCUCAAAAAUAGACCAAACGUGAAAACCUACGGAGGACCUCCCUCCCGGCUCCCGUGAUCCCUAGCUAGCCCGCGCUCAUCCCCUUCUACACCAGCAGCCGCCGCCCCCGCCCCGCACCCCUUGCCCUCCCUCCCUACCUUUUCCCAGCCGAGCGCCCCAUCCAUACAAAGGGCAACGCCGCGGCUGGGCAGUCCAGGAGGCGAGCGAGGCAGCGAGCAAAGUUUUUCAUGGAUCGAUCGAUACAUGUGUGAUUGCGUUUGCCUCUUCCUCAGCUGGCUGAUCGAGCGUCCUCUACGUGCCCUCCCUCGGCCCCUCGGCAGCUCGUCGCCGCAGGCAGGUAUCCACACGUGAUGCCUAUGCGCUGCACGCCAUUCCUCUCUGCAGGUGCCGCCAUGGCCGUGUCAUGGAGCUCGCCGCCGCGCCUACCAACGACGUCCUGCGUCCAGGCAUGGCGAGGGCGCUGGAUGGCAGGAACGGCCGCAUCAAGGAGGCAGCUAGGGACGGUGGCUCCAGGGCUCUACACGCCGUUGCCAGUCACGGGAGGAUGCCGGUGUGUGUUUACCUGCUCCAGAAGCAUGUUCAACGAAAAUGUCAACGAACCUUUGGCCAUAGCUCCUUCCUCUUCUCACAACAAGUGAGUUCUCUCUGCACUAGCAUAUGUGCUAUCAGUAAUCACCGCUCUAGAAUUCUGAAUAUAUUUCUAUAUGAUAUCCAGCCGGUAAUCGUGCAGGCUUUUGUCUAAAGUUUUUUCUCUUGCAAUUUGCAAUGUACAAAGUUUGAAUAUUACAGAAACUGCUGGCAUCUAAUUUUCCAUCAUAUUAUAUUUUACGCAUAAGUUUUGUAUCUCCUUUCUAAUGAGUAAAUGGUGAAUAGAUCCUUUUUGUGAAUUAAACAUAAUUCAGAGAUGAUAAUGACUAUGUAGCUUGCAUUGCAUGUAUGGUGGUGUAUCUAUUGAGCUGGAGAAUAUUUUAGAAUUCAUUCACUUGCAGCGAUGGCAAUGACCAACACAGUUUUUUCGUUUUCCGUUUCGUUCCUACGUUCUGGUUGGUACCGGUGUAGAUUUUCUUCCUCAAUAAAAUACAUAGAAGUAGAUCGGAUUGGUCACAAAUAUCUUACUACUUCAGCAGCAGUUAUGUUUUUCCAACUGAAAUCAUUUUCCUUGCUAGGCGCUAGCUAUACCUGACAACAGGUAAGAGACGUGUUGUUGACAACUCACCCUUAGUUACAGUUGAGGUACUUGCACAAAAGACGCAUGAAAAUGUUUGAUUUUAAUAUUGUUUUACCAUAUGCUUUGAUUUCAUCGGGAAAGAGGAGAAGACGAGAGGAAGAGAGUCCCUAGGGGUAAGUAUCGCCGAGCACAACAGGUUGAAACAAAAAUACUGAGAUGGUGUUGAGAACAGAAAAUAGGAGAAAUAGUCCAAUGUUUUACACAACAUGUUGUGACACAUGCACAUGACAUAGAUAUUUUAAUCAAUAUCUCAUUUAAUGAACUAAUCAAGAAAGACAAAAAAAUAGAUUGACUCAUGAUGACAAAUAUGUUCGUCUUGAUUUGUACUAUCAAUUUUUGUCGCAACACAGUCAUAAGUCGCAUGUGACGUUCACAUUGUGAAUUGAAAUGAUGUUUUGAUUAGUGUCUUAGUUUGUUGUUUCAUGGUAGCACGGGCAUUCACCUGUGUUAGUUUUUCAUCUUGAAUGGAAGUAACUUUGUGUUCUAAUUGAUUGAGCAUAUGAAUUUAUGAAGUAUUGGUUGUGUAUGCUAAUUCUGACGGAUGGAAUCCUUUGCUUUAUAGCAUCAUGCACUAAUAUCUCUAUCCCUAAUGUCUCAGUUGGUAGAAUAGUCUCCACGAAUUUUUUUCGUCCCACCAUUUUCAUCCUUUUUUUCGUUGGUUUUUUGUCCCCCCACCCCACCCCACGCAAGCACCCCAAAAAAACCAACCCGCACAAACACCGAUCCUAUCGAUCCCCUGGAGGACAUGCAGCCACCGUCGUGUGAUCUUCCUCACACAGACGCACCAGAUCGCCGCCGCCGACCUCACAGAGAAGACGCCGCCGAAUCUUGUACACGUACGGGAUCGCCGGAUCCCUAGAACGCUGUUGAUCUAUUCACUACAUCGACGGAAACCAAGCGCUACACUAGAAACCAGGCCGAUCCCAGAGCCAGAAGAAGAAGGAGAAGAGGGUCUCCAUGGCUCAUCAGGCGUCGGCGGGCAGCGAUGACACGCGGCUGCGAAGGUGUUCGUGUAUGGCCCGGCGUGGAAGAUGAGCAAGGAGGGUGUGCACGACCAGUUCGAGCUCUUCGGCGAGAUCCUCGAGGCUGUCGUCAUUGCCAACAAGGGCACCGACAUAUCCAAGGCCGCGGAUUCGUGAGUACCCACCCAAACAAUUCUCUCUUCCCCUCAUCAUCGAUUCAUGUUCAGUAGUUAAUUCUCUUGUUUAAUUCAGCCCCGUUAGUUGAUGCUAUGCCUAGAUGGAUGCUUGGCAGGUUACAUUUUGGGAGGCGGAGGCGGCCAUUAGGGCGUGCUUCGGUCCGUAUCGGUGAUUGACGACCGGAGGACCAACUGCAACCUCGCCCGCCUCAGGGUCCAGAGGUCCAAGGCCCCACAACCAACUGCCUCUGCAUCCAUAUGCUGCAAUCAAGUUACCAAAUCUGAAGCAUUUUAGCAAGGCAACGGUACAUGUGCUCUUUUGGUGGAAGAUGAAGCUUUUGUUGCUCUGGCAGCCGCUUAGCCGCCCCAGGAUCGGGACGCCAUCUCUGCCUUCAUCGCCGACCUCCGCUCGAUGGCCGUCCACUUAUCGCCGACGCUCCCUCCGCCACCUCCCGAGCCGGAUUAGGGGUCGGGUCCCUCCCCGGCCCCAUUUUGUGUUUAUUUUGGGCUUGUUGAGCUGUGCCCUCAGCAAAACCUUUUGUACUCUGUCUUGUGAGAGUUGUGUGUGUGUGGUGUGAACCUUCUUGUGUACUAGUGCUAUGUGGCGGUUUGCUUUAUUUAUAAAGCGGGGCGAAAGCCUUUUUCGGUUUAACU